ensembl:lncRNA
UACAAGAUAUUUACAAUAAGCAGACCUCAGUGCAAGAAAGUGUCGUUCCAACACUGAAAAGGUCAAAGGUCAACUUUAACAUUAAAAGGUGUUCAAACAAGUACAAGAUAUUUACAAUAAGCAGACCUCAGUGCAAGAAAGUGUCGUUCCAACACUGAAAAGGUCAAAGGUGAACUUUAACAUUAAAAGGUGUUCAAACAAGUACAAGAUAUUUACAAUAAGCAGACCUCAGUGCCAGAAAGUGUCUUUCCAACACAGAAAAGGUCAAAGGUCAACUUUAACAUUAAAAGGUGUAAAAACAAGUACAAGAUAUUUACAAUAAGCAGACCUCAGUGCAAGAAAGUGUCUUUCCAACACUGAAAAGGUUAAAGGUCAAGUUUAAAGGUGUAAAAACAAGUACAGGAUAUUUACAAUAAGCAGACCUCAGUGCAAGAAAGUGUCUUUCCAACACUGAAAAGGUCAAAGGUCAACUUUAAAGGUGUAAAAACAAGUACAGGAUAUUUACAAUAAGCAGACCUCAGUGCAAGAAAGUGUAUUUUUAACACUGAAAAGGUCAAAGGUCAAGUUUAAAGGUGUAAAAACAAGUACAGGAUAUUUACAAUAAGCAGACCUCAGUGCAAGAAAGUGUCUUUCCAACACUGAAAAGGUCAAAGGUCAAGUUUAAAGGUGUAAAAACAAGUACAAGAUAUUUACAAUAAGCAGACCUCAGUGCAAGAAAGUGUCUUUCCAACACUGAAAAGCACAAAGGUCAACUUUAACAUUAAAAGGUGUAAAAACAAGUACAAGAUAUUUACAAUAAGCAGACCUCAGUGCAAGAAAGUGUCUUUCUAACACUGAAAAGGUCAAAGGUCAACUUUAACAUUAAAAGGUGUAAAAACAAUUACAAGAUAUUUACAAUAAGCAGACCUCAGUGCAAGAAAGGGAGGUGGGGGGGUACUCACCUUCCACUUCACUGACACACAUCAGCAUCCAGUUCUUCAUGAGAAGAGGGGGAGGGGGAGAGGGCGAUGUACUCACCUUUAUUGACGCGCUCGGUUCCAGUGUCCCAUGCUUCAUCAGAAGAG